GGCACAAGUAGAGGUCCAGGGUGGGUGGGGCUGGAGGGUACAAGAAGUGUGGAGGCAGAAACAUCCUGCCUUCAGCCAGAAGAUCCAGACCAGCAGCAGACUGACGCUUCCACUUAGUCCUGGAGGAAACAGGAAGUAGACAGGAGGAAACAGGAAGUAGACAGGGGGUAAACAGGAAGUAGACAGGAGGAAACAGGAAGUAGACAGGAGGUAAACAGGAAGUAGACAGGAGGUAAACAGGAAGUAGACAGAGGUCAUCAGAAAGUAGCCUCUGAAGAAUGAACAGGGAUGAAUGGAGGUGAAACAUCUAGAAUGUGUUGUCAUUCAGUCAGGGAAAAAAGAAUUCUUAUUUUUUUAUUUCCACUCAUCAGAGACCAGUGAAUAUAUCCCAUAAUAUCAGCCUGCUGUUUUCUUCUCUCAUUCUGAAUCUAACGGAGGAAAUCAGAGUUUUAAAAUCUCGUCUUUAAGUCAAAGCAGCAAACAGAAACAUCAAACUCACUGAUGAUGAAGUUUUCGUCCAAUCACAGCUCAGGAUCCUCUGAACAAUAAAAAUAAACGGAUAAAUAAUAAACGGUUCUCCACUAAAAGCUCCAGAUUUGUUUCUGCAUUAAUUAUUGAUUAUUAAUUACAGACACGCUGCUGAAUUAUUGAUCACCGUGUUUAUUAUUAAUCAGAACCUCAGCAUUGCUGGAUGGACGGGUUACCAAAAUAAAACCAAAAUAAAACUCA